rnacentral:rRNA from 1 species
UACGUAGGGGGCAAGCGUUAUCCGGAUUUACUGGGUGUAAAGGGGGCGCAGACGGCAGCGCAAGCCAGGAGUGAAAGCCCGGGGCCCAACCCCGGGACUGCUCUUGGAACUGCGCGGCUGGAGUGCAGGAGGGGCAGGCGGAAUUCCUGGUGUAGCGGUGAAAUGCGUAGAUAUCAGGAGGAACACCGGUGGCGAAGGCGGCCUGCUGGACUGCGACUGACGUUGAGGCCCGAAAGCGUGGGGAGCAGACGGG